AGAGUUUGAUCAUGGCUCAGAUUGAACGCUGGCGGCAGGCUUAACACAUGCAAGUCGAGCGGAAACGAUGGGUGCUUGCACCCAGGCGUCGAGCGGCGGACGGGUGAGUAAUGCAUAGGAAUCUGCCCAGUAGUGGGGGAUAGCCCGGGGAAACCCGGAUUAAUACCGCAUACGCCCUUUGGGGGAAAGCAGGGGAUCUUCGGACCUUGCGCUAUUGGAUGAGCCUAUGUCGGAUUAGCUUGUUGGUGGGGUAACGGCUCACCAAGGCAACGAUCCGUAGCUGGUCUGAGAGGAUGAUCAGCCACAUCGGGACUGAGACACGGCCCGAACUCCUACGGGAGGCAGCAGUGGGGAAUAUUGGACAAUGGGGGCAACCCUGAUCCAGCCAUGCCGCGUGUGUGAAGAAGGCUUUCGGGUUGUAAAGCACUUUCAGUGAGGAGGAAAACCUUACGACUAAUACUCGUGAGGCUUGACGUUACUCACAGAAGAAGCACCGGCUAACUCCGUGCCAGCAGCCGCGGUAAUACGGAGGGUGCAAGCGUUAAUCGGAAUUACUGGGCGUAAAGCGCGCGUAGGUGGUUUGAUAAGCGAGAUGUGAAAGCCCCGGGCUUAACCUGGGAACGGCAUUUCGAACUGUCAGGCUAGAGUGUGGUAGAGGGUAGUGGAAUUUCCUGUGUAGCGGUGAAAUGCGUAGAUAUAGGAAGGAACACCAGUGGCGAAGGCGGCUACCUGGACCAACACUGACACUG
rnacentral:rRNA from 1 species